rnacentral:rRNA from 1 species
CCCUUAGAUGUUCUGGGCUGCACGCGCGCUACACUGACGCACGCAACAGGUGCCUGCUCCGAGAGGACUGGGUAAUCAUUUGAGUGUGCGUCGUGAUGGGGAUAGAAUAUUGUAAUUAUUACUCUUCAACGAGGAAUUCCUAGUAAGCGCCAGUCAGCAGCUUGCGCUGAUUACGUCCCUGCCCUUUGUACACACCGCCCGUCGCUCCUACCGAUGGGUGAUCCGGUGAAUGAUUCGGACUUCAGCGGCUCUCCUGGGGUGCGCCGGAGAAAGUUUUGUGAACCUUAUCACUUGGAGGAAGGAGAAGUCGUAACA